rnacentral:rRNA from 1 species
GAUGAACGCUGGCGGCGUGCUUAACACAUGCAAGUCGAACGGAAAGGCCCAAGCUUGCUUGGGUACUCGAGUGGCGAACGGGUGAGUAACACGUGGGUGAUCUGCCCUGCACUUCGGGAUAAGCCUGGGAAACUGGGUCUAAUACCGGAUAGGACCACAUUUUGGAUGGUGUGGUGGAAAGUUUUUCGGUGUGGGAUGAGCUCGCGGCCUAUCAGCUUGUUGGUGGGGUAAUGGCCUACCAAGGCGUCGACGGGUAGCCGGCCUGAGAGGGUGUACGGCCACAUUGGGACUGAGAUACGGCCCAGACUCCUACGGGAGGCAGCAGUGGGGAAUAUUGCACAAUGGGCGCAAGCCUGAUGCAGCGACGCCGCGUGGGGGAUGACGGCCUUCGAGUUGUAAACUCCUUUCGCUAGGGACGAAGCGCAAGUGACGGUACCUGGAGAAGAAGCACCGGCUAACUACGUG